UCUAUUAAUUAAUUACAAUAAUCUAUUAAUUAAUUAUAAACGAGGACAAAGUGAGCAUUAUUAAUUUUGGGAGGGUAAAAUGGUCAAUUCAGGGAAUGGGAGACUCAUUCCCAAAUUGUGAUGGGCCCCAUGAUUCCGAUUCCGAUUCUGAUUUCUAACUCUAUCUUGCGAAGUAAACACUGUCAAUAAUUCUGAUUCUCUAAUCCGAUAAGUAAAUGCAGCAUAAUUUUUUCUUUUUUAGAUAUUUUUACGCUUUUAGUCUUUAUUGAAAUUGCAUUGAAAGACAAUAUAUCUAAUUAAACUCAUCUAUUAAAUACAUUAUUUCACUAAAAAUUCUUUACACAAGCAUGUUUU
rnacentral:lncRNA from 1 species